rnacentral:rRNA from 1 species
UACGUAGGUGGCAAGCGUUAUCCGGAAUUACUGGGCGUAAAGCGUGCGUAGGUGGUUUUUUAAGUCCGUUGUGAAAGCCCUGGGCUCAACCUGGGAAUGGCAGUGGAUACUGGAAAGCUAGAGUGCGGUAGAGGGUAGUGGAAUUCCCGGUGUAGCAGUGAAAUGCGUAGAGAUCGGGAGGAACACCUGUGGCGAAGGCGGCCCCCUGGGCCGGCCCUGACACUGAGACGCGAAGGCGUGGGGAGCGAACGGG